rnacentral:rRNA from 1 species
UUAGAGUUUGCUUCUGGCUCAGGAUGAACGCUAGCUACAGGCUUAACACAUGCAAGUCGAGGGGCAUCGGGAGCAAAGCUUGCUUUGCUUGCCGGCGACCGGCGCACGGGUGAGUAACGCGUAUCCGACCUGCCCAUGACUCGGGCACAGCCGCUCGAAAGAGCGAUUGAUACCCGACACGUCGUAUGAGUGGAUCAUAUGAUGAAAGAUUCAUCGGUCAUGGAUGGGGAUGCGUAGGAUUAGGUAGUAGGCGGGGUAACGGCCCACCUAGCCGACGAUCCUUAGGGGUUCUGAGAGGAAGGUCCCCCACACUGGUACUGAGACACGGACCAGACUCCUACGGGAGGCAGCAGUGAGGAAUAUUGGUCAAUGGGCGGAAGCCUGAACCAGCCAAGUAGCGUGAAGGAUUACUGCCCUACGGGUUUUAAACUUCUUUUAUGCGAGAGUAAUGUGCGCCACGUGUGGCGUAUUGCAAGUAUCGCAUGAAUAAGCAUCGGCUAACUCCGUGCCAGCAGCCGCGGUAAUACGGAGGAUGCGAGCGUUAUCCGGAUUUAUUGGGUUUAAAGGGAGCGUAGGCGGGAUAUUAAGUCAGUCGUCAAAGCCUGUGGCUCAACCACAGCCCGCGAUUGAUACUGGUAACCUUGAGUGCGGAUGAGGUGGAUGGAAUUCGUGGUGUAGCGGUGAAAUGCUUAGAUAUCACGAAGAACUCCGAUUGCGAAGGCAGUCCACUGGGCCGCAACUGACGUUGAGGCUCGAAAGCGUGGGGAGCAAACAGGAUUAGAUACCCUGGUAGUCCACGCCGUAAACGAUGAUUACCAGGGCGUUGGAGGGUAUUACCCUUCGGUGGCCGCAGCAAAACGCAAUAAGUAAUCCACCUGGGGGGUACGUUCGCAAGAAUGAAACUCAAAGGAAUUGACGGGGACCCGCACAAGCGGUGGAGCAUGUGGGUUUAAUUCGAAGCAACGCGAAGAACCUUACCUGGUCUUGACAUCCCGAUGACUGACGAGUAAUGUCGUCUUUUCUUCGGAACAUUGGAGACAGGUGGUGCAUGGUUGUCGUCAGCUCGUGUCGUGAGAUGUUGGGUUAAGUCCCGCAACGAGCGCAACCCCUAUCUUUAGUAGCCAGCAUUUCGGAUGGGCACUCUAGAGAGACUGCCUGGGAUAACCAGGAGGAAGGUGGGGAUGACGUCAAAUCAUCAUGCCCCUUAUGACCAGGGCUACACACGUGCUACAAUGGCGUAAACAAAGGGAAGCGAGAUGGUGACAUUAAGCAAAUCCCAAAAAUAACGUCUCAGUUCGGAUUGUAGUCUGCAACUCGACUACAUGAAGCUGGAAUCGCUAGUAAUCGCGAAUCAGAAUGUCGCGGUGAAUACAAUCCCGGGUCUUGUACUCACCGCCCGUCAAG